UACAGGGGGGGCAAGGCGUUGUUCGGAAUUACUGGGCGUAAAGGGUCUGUAGGUGGCCAACUAAGUCAGACGUGAAAUCCCUCAGCUUAACUGGGGAACUGCGUCUGAUACUGGAUGGCUUGAGUGUGGGAGAGGAAUGCGGAAUUCCAGGUGUAGCGGUGAAAUGCGUAGAUAUCUGGAGGAACACCGGUGGCGAAGGCAGCUCGCUGGGACGGUACUGACGCUGAGGCGCGAAAGCGUGGGGAGCAACAGG
rnacentral:rRNA from 1 species